AAUCAACGCUGGCGGCGUGCCUCAGACAUGCAAGUCGAACGAUUAAAGCUCUCUUCGGAGAGUGUAUAGAGUGGCGCACGGGUGAGUAACACGUAAGUAAUCUACCCUCGAGUGGGGAAUAACAACCGGAAACGGUUGCUAAUACCGCAUAAUGCAGCGGCACCGCAAGGUGACAGUUGUUAAAGAUUUAUCGGCUUGAGGAGGAGCUUGCGGCAGAUUAGCUAGUUGGUAGGGUAACGGCUUACCAAGGCUACGAUCUGUAACCGGUCUAAGAGGACGGUCGGUCGACACUGACACUGAAUAACGGGUCAGACUCCUACGGAGGCAGCAGUCGGGAAUUUUGGGCAAUGGGCGAAA
rnacentral:rRNA from 1 species